rnacentral:rRNA from 1 species
UACGGAGGGUGCUAGCGUUGUUCGGAAUUACUGGGCGUAAAGGGCGCGCAGGCGGCUGCUCAAGUCAGGCGUGAAAGGCCUGGGCUCAACCCGGGAAUUGCGCUUGAGACUGGGCUGACUUGAGUGCGGGAGAGGAUGGUGGAAUUCCCAGUGUAGAGGUGAAAUUCGUAGAUAUUGGGAAGAACACCGGUGGCGAAGGCGGCCAUCUGGACCUCAACUGACGCUGAGGCGCGAAAGCGUGGGGAGCAAACAGG